UAUGCUGGAGAAAAGCAAACACAUUUUGUUCUCACUAAACUUCUAGCUAAUGCACGUGUUACUUUAAACCACAUGAGGGCACUGUUUGUCUAACAAAACAGUGCCCUCAUGUGGUUUAAAGUAGCACAUGCAUUAGUUAGAAGUUCAGUGAGAAGAAAAUGUAUUUGCUUUUUUUCCAGCAUGC